CAACUUUCAUGUUGACCACUUUUCAAAAUUCCAAACAGAUUUUGAAUUGAAGAUUUAAGUUUGAAAAGGGGACACUUUUCGGAAAUCUGUAUUUUCAAAAUUACUUUAAAUUUUGUACUGAAACUUCAAAAACUCAAAACACCAAAGUUGUACAUCUUGACAAGAUCUACAACUUUGCUUUUGAACUCAACUUCAAAUUUUGCUUAGUUUUUAAAUUACACAAAAGGGGGUAAAUCUAGGGUUUUGCAAACUAGGGUUUUCCCCCCUAAGCUUUUCGGAAAAACUUUCACCCAAGGUUUUUAAACUCCAAAACAAGCAUCCAAAAAUAAACACACUUAAAUUCCUAAACACAUUCAUCCAAAAUAAACUUAUUUUAGGUUAAUGCAUUAGUGUGUGUUUAACAUAUGUUUGAUGCAAUGCUCAUGAUGACAUGUCCCAUUUUUAGUUCGCUUAACACGAGAGUGUUACAGAAACAUUGCCAAGAGAUUUCACAUCCAACUUCAAAGACAAACCACAGUUAAAUGAAUGCUCCUCAAUCAACCUUGCUAUUUUCAUCUUCAAAGCAAAAGGAAGUUUACAGCCAGAUACAGAUUCCAUCUUCUCAAAGAAAACAACAUCAAGAUCAUCAACACAGGAAACUGAUGCAACAUGGAGAGACUGUGGAAAAAAUAAAUAAACAAUUAAACAAAAUAUACACCCACUCGCCAUAAAAGAAAAGAAGAAAUAUAUAUACAUAUAUGUAUACAACUAACCUUGUAGUAGCAAGUUCUCUCAAACUCAAUUAAUGGUCUGUAACCAUAAACACUAGGAGAUUUAAGAUCCAGAUUAGAGUAAAACUUAAUCAUAUCAUCUUUCCAAACUGAAAUUCGAGGAAUAGAAUCAUCCACUUGUCUCUGACUAAAAUCAAUGUGAUCGAGGUAAACAACCUAAAAACAAAUGUAAUAAUUAAAACAUCCAAGAACUAAAAAAAGAAACAACAUACAACAAACUGAAGCAUAUAAAACUUACCACAAGAUAGUACAAGCAGCCUCCAAGACCUUGGCACCUUUUCAGUCUAUCAUUCUUCCCACGGUUAAAGGCCUUUAUGUGAUCCAAUAACCAGUCCAAAACAAAACCACACCAAUUGAAAUCUUUGAUAUGAUCAAUAUCUUGGAAAACACCAAAAUAUUUAGGACUUGGAACAAUAUUGGUGUUGGGGCACAAAAAACUACUCAAAGCAACUACCAUAAAGCAAAUGAACAUAUCCUCAUCAGAUAAAUUUUCCUUCUUAAUCAACUUAUCAGCAAAGAAAGAAAUAGGAGGAAUCUUAUCCUUCCCAAACUUUGAUAACACAACAUCCUUUCCAGCACUUGGAUCAACAGGAAAUGCUCUUCUAUCCAAAGGAAGCCCAAGAACUAGAUGAAUUGACUCCACACUAAGAGAAAUAACCUUUCCUUCACGAAUAAUGUCACCAGAUUUGGAAUCGACUAAACGGGCAACCCAGUUAGCAAACUUAUUUGGGACAAAACACUUGUUGAACAGCAACAAAGAACCAAAACCAUAUCUCUCAAUUACACCCUUCUCCUUAGGGGACAAAGCAGAUAUCACAUUUGAGAAAGCAGUGGCAGAAAACCUUGAAAACCCAUCUUUAGUCUUGUUCCCAGUUUUCAGCUUCUUCGACUGAAAAAAACAAAGUAAUUGUAAACAAUAAGUUUUGAAGAACAAAAAAAAAUUAGAAAAAAACAAUGCAAGUAACCUUGUGCUUUAAUGUCAUCUGAAGUCUUCUCUUCAUACUCUUAAUCUUCUUAUACUGAAAAAAAUAAUUAGAAAAAAAAUACAAAAUUUAAGAGAAAUUAACAUAAAAAACAGACUUACAUCUCUUAUACACUUCUCAUACAAAUCAUAGUCAAAGCUUGAAUUGUCACUGGACGAAUCAUCCUGCAAAAAAAAGAAAUUAUAAAUGUAUACACAAUGCAACUACAAUGAACAAAUAACUAAGAAAUAACAAACAAUAAACACACUUCUGCAAAAAGCUCUGAUCCUGAAAGUGAUGGAUACGAAUCAUCAUCCAUGAAAGGUAACUGAGAACAUUGAACAUCUUCAGAACCAUCAGUUUCUGAAUCAGUAGAGCUAGACAAAUCAACUACACCACUAGGCCUUUUCCGAACCAUCUUCACUACAUUAAACCAAAAAUUAACUACAAAAUUAUUAGGACAUAUAUGAAAUAAAACAAAUAAAGGAAGAAAUAAAAAUAUACUAAUAAGUAGUAAAAUAAUCAGUUAACUAAACUAAGACUAUGUCAAUUCUACUACAAAUUCAGUAGAAAAAGAAUAAAAAUUAAACAAUAAUCAUUACACCAAACAAAUUAUAGGUUCAUAAACACAACCAAAAUGUAAAAUAAAGAUAACCAUAACAACAUAAAUAUGCACAGUUCAUUCAAAGAUAUAAAACAACUCCUAACAACCAAAAAGCAGCCGUCUACAAAAUUUAUCAGCACACCAUCACCACAAUAUAAACCACGAAACCUCUAUCCAACUUCAACACCAAUGGAAGUAAAAGUGCCACCACAAAUAAAUUGAAAACAUGCUACAUAGACAAUACAUGAACAAAAAUAAAAAAGUACACUUAACUGAAUCUGAACCCACGAACAGAAAUAAUUUUGUCUUCCCAUUAACUGAACCUGAAUCCAUUCAAUUAGGCAAAUACCCAUAAACAAAAAUAAGAUUCAGUCCAAACCAACACUCAAUGACAACAUAAACAUAACCAGAGGCGGCACAACGACCUGAUAACGAAUCAUUACUAAUGAAACUAUAAAUAUCAUCAAUCAGCUAUCAGAUCUGAGCACACAAACACGAAAUCACCAUCCAACCUAGGGCGAAAUCACAGCAAUAUAGGUAAAUCUAUCAACAUAUCCGGUAAGAACAGAACCAAAUCCCCAAUCGCAUCCUAAUGAAUCAAACAACGACAUACCCCAAACUAAACAACAGAUCCAACACCUCCUCUACACGGGGCAUCAAAACCUGAAAUCUACGAAAAAACCCUACACUAACCACAUGAAACCAUAAGCGGCAAUCUAUGAACAAAGACAUCGCAUCCACCAACACACAGAAGAGAUUCAAAACCAAAAAAUAACGUAAAAAACGGACGAACCUCGGAGAUGUUGGAUCAGGAAAUGGGAAGACGGACGAACCUCGGAGAAAAGGAAUCACGAAAUGGGAAGACGGACGAACCUCGGAAAUCCUAGCAAAAUCGCCAGUCGCCACCGAGAGCAGCCCAAACGACAGGAGAGAGAACGGACGAAAUGAAAUGAGGAGUGAGAAGCGGAACAGAACGAUCACUACCGGGCGCGAGUCCCAAAAAUCAAACAGUGGUGCCGACAGAUGAGCCCCACAUGACAGACACACAAAAAGAAAGGCAAGAUGCAAACCAAAGAAGAGCCACACGAUUCAGAUCUAAAGGCCAAGAAAUUCGGUUGAUGGCAAACCACAAAUCAACCGGAUGACAUAUAGCAAUUCUGUUGCAUUAACGAUGCCGUUGGGUAUCUAUACCCGUUCCCCAUAUCCAAACCUGUAAGAAACACGAGCUACCUAGCUCGGCUCGUUUUGGCUCAUUAGAAUAAUAAAUUAGCUUGGUUCGGUUUAUUAUUUUAACGAGCUAAAAAGCCUGUUUGUCUUAGCUCGUUAAAAGCUCGAGCUGAUUCGUUAAGCUCGCGAGCC
rnacentral:lncRNA from 1 species